GUGGGGAAUAUUGGACAAUGGGCGAAAGCCUGAUCCAGCCAUGCCGCGUGUGUGAAGAAGGUCUUCGGAUUGUAAAGCACUUUAAGUUGGGAGGAAGGGCAGUAAGUUAAUACCUUGCUGUUUUGACGUUACCGACAGAAUAAGCACCGGCUAACUUCGUGCCAGCAGCCGCGGUAAUACGAAGGGUGCAAGCGUUAAUCGGAAUUACUGGGCGUAAAGCGCGCGUAGGUGGUUUUGUAAGUUGGAGGUGAAAUCCCCGGGCUCAACCUGGGAACUGCCUCCAAAACUGCAUGACUAGAGUACGGUAGAGGGUAGUGGAAUUUCCUGUGUAGCGGUGAAAUGCGUAGAUAUAGGAAGGAACACCAGUGGCGAAGGCGACUACCUGGACUGAUACUGACACUGAGGUGCGAAAGCGUGGGGAGCAAACAGGAUUAGAUACACCAGUAGUCC
rnacentral:rRNA from 1 species